rnacentral:rRNA from 1 species
GUCGAACGGUAGAGGGGGCAACCCCUCGAGAGUGGCGAACGGGUGAGUAAUAUAUCGGAACGUGCCCAGUCGUGGGGGAUAACGUAGCGAAAGUUACGCUAAUACCGCAUACGAUCUAAGGAUGAAAGCGGGGGAUCGCAAGACCUCGCGCGAUUGGAGCGGCCGAUAUCAGAUUAGGUAGUUGGUGAGGUAAAGGCUCACCAAGCCAACGAUCUGUAGCUGGUCUGAGAGGACGACCAGCCACACUGGAACUGAGACACGGUCCAGACUCCUACGGGAGGCAGCAGUGGGGAAUUUUGGACAAUGGACGCAAGUCUGAUCCAGCCAUUCCGCGUGCAGGAUGAAGGCCCUCGGGUUGUAAACUGCUUUUGUACGGAACGAAAAGGUCUCUCUUAAUACGGGGGGCUCAUGACGGUACCGUAAGAAUAAGCACCGGCUAACUACGUGCCAGCAGCCGCGGUAAUACGUAGGGUGCAAGCGUUAAUCGGAAUUACUGGGCGUAAAGCGUGCGCAGGCGGUUAUAUAAGACAGAUGUGAAAUCCCCGGGCUCAACCUGGGAACUGCAUUUGUGACUGUAUAGCUAGAGUACGGUAGAGGGGGAUGGAAUUCCGCGUGUAGCAGUGAAAUGCGUAGAUAUGCGGAGGAACACCGAUGGCGAAGGCAAUCCCCUGGACCUGUACUGACGCUCAUGCACGAAAGCGUGGGGAGCAAACAGGAUUAGAUACCCUGGUAGUCCACGCCCUAAACGAU